rnacentral:rRNA from 1 species
UACGUAGGGUGCAAGCGUUGUUCGGAAUCAUUGGGCGUAAAGCGCGUGUAGGCGGCUUGGCAAGUCGGUUGUGAAAGCCCGGGGCCCAACCCCGGAACUGCAUCUGAAACUGCCUGGCUAGAGUCCCGGAGAGGAAGGCAGAAUUCCCGGUGUAGGGGUGAAAUCCGUAGAUAUCGGGAGGAAUACCAGCGGCGAAGGCGGCCUUCUGGACGGUGACUGACGCUGAGACGCGAAAGCGUGGGGAGCAAACAGG